UGGGGAAUAUUGCGCAAUGGGGGAAACCCUGACGCAGCGAUGCCGCGUGGGUGAAGAAGGCCUUCGGGUUGUAAAGCCCUUUCAGUGGGGAAGAUAGUGACGGUACCCACAGAAGAAGCUCCGGCUAACUCCGUGCCAGCAGCCGCGGUAAUACGGAGGGGGCGAGCGUUGUUCGGAAUUAUUGGGCGUAAAGGGCGCGUAGGCGGUUAAUCAAGUCAGGAGUGAAAGCCCCAGGCUCAACCUGGGAACUGCUUUUGAAACUGAAUAACUGGAGUCCGGCAGAGGGUGGUGGAAUUCCCCGUGUAGAGGUGAAAUUCGUAGAUAUGGGGAGGAAGACCGGAGGCGAAGGCGGCCACCUGGACCGGUACUGACGCUAAGGCGCGAAAGCGUGGGGAGCAAACAGG
rnacentral:rRNA from 1 species